GCUCGUCACAUGACGUCUUCUACAGACUAUAAUAAAUAAGAAUAAAUAGGAAGAGGCAACAAUAAAUGAUCUAUGCCAGCGCAAGUCAAUAUUUAUCUGGCCAGUCAACUGGUUUUUAAUUUUAAAAAUCCCUCGCAGUCUGAACUGCAACAGCACGGUCUGCGGUGAGUUAAACAACGUUCAACUGCAGGAUCAAUAGCAUUCAGCGGUGAGUUUAACAACCCUCAAAUGCGGUUAAAACAACAUUCAGAGGGAAGCUUUAUUUAAACCGCGUUCAACUGCAGAUAAAACAACAUUCAGAGGUGACUUUAACAACGCUCCACGGCGCGUGGGAGUAGCAUUUUAAGCGUUUUCUGAUCAUGUAGGUAAGUGCUUUGAUUAACUUUAGACGUGAUGCAUGCUGGGUGGCAAAUAUUUUUUAUCGAAGGCUCGUUGAUGGUAAUAAAUAUACAUAUAAAUAUACAUUUUACUAUAAUACGAUUGUGUUCGAUUAAUUAAUGGGUUGUUUAAUUAUUAAUUUGUUUAUUUUAAAUCCUGUAAUUUAACAACUCUGACGUCAUCGAAUGCGACGAUGCCAAGGUCCAUUGCGAUUUCCACUCGGUGCGAGCCAAGCCAGUUUUAUUUAUUGGGAAACAGGAUAAAAAGGCUUCGAAUAAGUGGGUUGCAUAUAUUAUUACCCAUUGGCACCCCACUCCUGUCACUACAAUUUUUUGGAGGAGAUGCGGAGGGCUUUAUCUUGACAAAAGCAACCUCCACAGGACAGCAGCCUGAGAGCCUCGCCAUGGAGCGGCCUGAGAGCCCUGCUGUGAAAUGGCCGGAGAACCUCACCAAGAAGUCUGAGGCUAUAUUUGUACUAAAUCUUGUUCUUCUGUCUUCUAGACUCUCUCCAACCUCUCUUGCUCCUACUACCUCUACUGCUUUUACAACAAUUUUCUCUCCACUUUUUUUCCCCACCUCCACUGCCAUGCUCUAAGUUUUUGCCACAGAGGAAGAGGAAGAUAAAGAAAUCUACCUCUUCCCACUAUACCACACUUGUCUCUCUUCGAUUUGCAUCUGUCUCUGCCAGUUCUAAAUCUCAGAAGUGGCCACUGGUGAAGAACAGAAUAAAGGAUAACUUUUCCUGUUACAUCUUACUCCACAAUUUGCUCCUAGUCAAAUAUGUCUUCAUGUUAAUUAAAUUCAUUUAGCUAACCAGGUAUUUGUUAGCCAGUUCACAGUGUUUUAGAGCCCAAUGUCCAAGGACUGUGGUCAAUGUAAAUUCCUGACUUAAAUGGACACUUCACUUUUUUUUGCUAAUUUUCCAGCAGUAAGUUUUACCAUUUUGGAAUCCAUUCAGCUGAUCUCCGCGUCUGGCACUACCUUUUUUAGCAUAGCUUAGCAUAAUACAUUGAAUCUGAUUAGGCCAUUAGCAUCGCACCAAAAAAUAACCAAAGAGUUUCAAUAUUUUUCCUAUUUAAAACUUGACUCUUCUGUAGUUACAUCGUGUACUAAGACAGACGGAAAAUUAAAAGUUGUGAUUUUCUCAGCUGAUAUUUCUAGGAACUAUACUCUUAUUCUGUCGUAAUAAUCAAGGACUUUGCUGUCGUAACAUGGCUGCAGAAGGCAUAAUGAUAUAACGCAGUGCCCGAAAAUAGUCCCCUUAGUAUCUUUCAAUAGCAGGGGACUUUUUUCGGGCACUGCGUAAUAUCAUUUUGGUUGAUUGACAAAAACAAGCACAAAUUUGUUUGACACUAAUGGAAAGGACUGCAUAUCACUUCACAUAAAUAUGGACUCAUGUGAUUCACCUACAAAGCAUGGCAUUCAUGGCUUAAUAAACUUUUUGUCUUUUCAUCAUUUCAGGUUGCUGAAAAUGUAGUUGGCAGAAGGUUUCCUUUUCGAUAAAAUAACUGAGGAACAGAUAAAUGAGAGGAAAGCCAAAUUUUGAAAGUUCACUGGUUACGUGCUCUGUGUGUGGAAAAACCUGGGAUGACACAUAGGAGCCUGCCAGCAAAUUCCAACACAAGUCCCCACAUCCCAACCAGUUUUCAGCAUGACAGCCUACACCUUUACAUUAUCAAGCACCCUUCAACUGUUUAAUUUUGAGUGUCUUUGCUUGCUGUUCUUUAUUAAAGUUUUUGCACAGUA